rnacentral:rRNA from 1 species
GAUGAACGCUGGCGGCGUGCCUAAUACAUGCAAGUCGAGCGAACAGACGAGGAGCUUGCUCCUCUGACGUUAGCGGCGGACGGGUGAGUAACACGUGGAUAACCUACCUAUAAGACUGGGAUAACUUCGGGAAACCGGAGCUAAUACCGGAUAAUAUAUUGAACCGCAUGGUUCAAUAGUGAAAGACGGUUUUGCUGUCACUUAUAGAUGGAUCCGCGCCGCAUUAGCUAGUUGGUAAGGUAACGGCUUACCAAGGCAACGAUGCGUAGCCGACCUGAGAGGGUGAUCGGCCACACUGGAACUGAGACACGGUCCAGACUCCUACGGGAGGCAGCAGUAGGGAAUCUUCCGCAAUGGGCGAAAGCCUGACGGAGCGACGCCGCGUGAGGGAUGAAGGUCUUCGGAUCGUAAAACUCUGUUAUUAGGGAAGAACAAAUGUGUAAGUAACUAUGCACGUCUUGACGGUACCUAAUCAGAAAGCCACGGCUAACUACGUG